rnacentral:lncRNA from 1 species
UGAAAGGAAAAAUGGUGUAGAGCACGAAUCUGACCUCAAUUCAUCCUAACUCCAAGUAUAUUGAGAGAUACAUGGAGUUGAAAUUUGAGGUACAUGAACUGAGUUGCUUCGAUUUGGCCUCAAAGCAACUCAGUCUUCUUGUCUGCAUUGGUAGGACUUCAGACAACCAAAGAAUUAAGAGAAUUGAGCAAGAUUAAGAGAGAAUCGAAGAGAUGAAAAUUUCUGAAAAAUACCUUCAAUGUAG